AUACAGGGGGUGCAAGCGUUGUCCGGAAUCAUUGGGCGUAAAGGGUUCGUAGGUGGAAUUAUAAGUCUGGUGUGAAAGCCCACAGCUCAACUGUGGAACUGCACUGGAUACUGUUUUUCUUGAGUUAUAGAGGGGUUUGUGGAAUUUCUGGUGUAGAGGUGAAAUUUGUAGAGAUCAGAAAGAACACCGGUGGCGAAGGCGACAAACUGGCUAUUAACUGACACUGAGGAACGAAAGCGUGGGGAGCGAACAGGAUUAGAAACCCUAGUAGUCC
rnacentral:rRNA from 1 species